rnacentral:sRNA from 1 species
CGACUACAGGGCAAAUCGACCUGCUCUGAGCAUAAUUCAGUUUUAUGUUUACAAGAAGACGCUCCAUGGAUGGCGCUACCUAUUAUUUAAUAUACCUUGACCUUGGAGCCAAGCUGUGUUUCUGUACUCCCUAUACUCCGGAGAAGAAUGAACUGUCAUAAGAGCGUUCUCUGGAAAUGCACCAAUGAAGUGAGAGUAUUUUGUGGUUCGUACAAAGAGCACAAGCUUAAAGCUUAUCAGAAAAUCAGCUAACAGAGGACAAUAGUGUGUGGAGUACACUGUUUAUGGUUUGAUUUAAGUACUAACGUAACGUGUCGUAGCGGGGCCGAUUAAAACGAUUCUACGAUUUCAAAGCAUACAGAUGUUUCGGGCUUUAUACGUGACAAGCCUUUACUGCUUUACUCUCCUUCACUCUCCUGCUCAACGUCUCUCCAGGCCAUUCAUACCAUUCAUUCUCCAUACCAUUCGGUACUCGAAGUGUAUAUAAACGUAAAGCAGUCGACCACAACGUUCCCACUGGUUUUAGUCUCUGUUCUGCAUAUCUUCUUCUGAUUCUCCUACGAAGGCACUAGUUUAACAGCAGGAUAUUCGCCGAGUUGCGUUCCUAAAUCUGUGCCAUUGGUACAGUAUACAGUUUUAGUUUAUUUUUUAUACGUUACAUUUUGAAUUAGGUGUUUGCUUGGUUGAUUGAAUUGGUUGGCUGCUGAUCCGAUCUGGUGCGGCUAUACAUACGUCCGUACAUAGCUCUCCAUGGAUCCUACUAGCAUAUACGGGCAUCAUUGCGAUAGAACGAACACACACACACUGUCUGGUGGCUCAGACACACAUACUAUCGUCGUGUACAUGGGGGAUCGGAUCUCUUCUAUUGCUUAACAUUACGAGUACAAAAAUACAUUGACUUUGUGAUUACAACAACAU